CACUACAGGCUGCUGACGUAGACCCUGCUGUCCUGGAGCUCCUCCUCACUCGGUCGACCCCGCGCGCGCACACAGCCCGCGUCCUCUUCGCCCCCGGCUCGGUCCUGCCCCGCGUCCCUGCAGUUCACAAAGGGUAAGAGGGCGCCAUUGGGGCUCUGUGGGGCGCCCCCGCUGAGGAUGUUGUCGGCCGCGCUCUCCAUCUCCUCUAUGGUCAUGUCGCAGGCGUCGGCCAGCUCCUGGGUGGUGACCUCGAUGAACUUGGGAUCUUGAGCAAACUGCCCCAGUCCUUCUGAAAUCAAGACCUGAAGGAGCGGGGUGGGAGCCAUGAAGAACCAAAGGAACAUUACUCCUGGAGCCCAGCUCUUCCCUUGAGGGCUAGAGCGAGGGGGUAUCUGAGAAACCAUUCUCCCUGGUGAAACUGCUGAGACAGGCCCACUGCCCAUUGCCUGCUGCUGCCUUUCCAGGGGUGAGGUAUCUGUGCAAACACGGCGCAUGCCCCUGCCUUGCUUCUGCUGGGAAGGGCCAGCAGGUGACCCUUAAGCUUCUCUGUCCUCCCUACCGGCUGCUUAGUGCCUGGCUAUGGGAAAAUCGGCUCCUGAGCCAGCGGGUCGGGGGAAGCUGAGUGCAGCCUGGCACUCGCUCCUUUCAGGCAUCUGUUUGUCUUGCUCCUUGCCCACGCCACUCAUUCUCUCCUUGCCCUGCUUAGUUUUUCUUUGGCACUCCUGACCUUCCUGAUGUGUUACGAGGAGGAGGACUGCAGACUGCCACCCGCCCCGCAGUGGAAGGAAAGAUGAGAGGGGUCGAGAGUGCGCCAUGGCACCACCCACCCUGAAGAUGUCAUCUUCAGAAGCAGCGGACACAGCCUCCUUCAUGGCCUUGUCCAGCUCCUCCUCAGCGGUGAGAUCUCCAGAGAUGGCCCGUCGGAUCUCAGGCCCGAUGUCAUGCAGUGUGCGCAAGCCAGCCUGGAAUCCAAGGGGAGGAUGGUGAGGACCACGCUCCCUUUCCUCCAAGCUCCCCAGCCAGCCACAGCCUCGGGCCAAGACCUGUCCCUCCAGGGCCCUGGCAUCCUCCACCCAGCCAGUCGACCCUCCGGAAGGUUUGUGUGUGUGUGAACUGGGGGCUGGGCUGCCCUCUGAUGGAACAAUCCACUCGCCCAUCCAGGAGGGAUGAAGGCUCAUUAGGACGGGGCACCAGGGGUCAGGGGCUGUCACGGGAGCCUCAGUGAAGUAUUUGAGAGAUCUGGGGGCUAUGACAGCAGGCAGAACCAUGGAGGGCAGUCGGUGGGUGGCAGGUAGGGAAGGGCACAUCACCCCCUUCUCACAGCCAUCUUUGGAAAGGUCUGGAGCUCUCUGAAAGGUUCCCUCUGCAGGGACCUGGCCUCCAGCCUGCUGGGGAGGGACCGGGACCCUGACUGGAGGUCAGAGGCAAUGACCAGGACCUUCCUGGAGUGUGGGCCCGCCCCCAGGCCCUCACCUGCAGAGACAGCGCGUUCCUCUGGGAGGGCUUGCCCACAAGGCCCUGCUCUUUGCGCUUCUUGAACUUCCGGAAGUACUCCUGGAUCAGGAACGUGGCGUAGAACUUGCCAACGGUGACCUCAUCAUCUGAGACGUAUGGAGAGGGGAGAGGGGGUAAGAGGGGAGCAGGGGAAUUCAGUUGAACUUCAUUCAUUUUUUUUUUCAGCAUCCAAAACUUUUUAAAACUUUAAUAUUUUUGGAGAGGUAAUACAUUCACAUGGCUUAAAAAGAGAGAAAAAAAACCAUAAAAAGGCUUAUGGUCAAAAGUCUCUCCCACCACAGCCCUUAUCUGCCUAGUCACCACCUCCUGUAGAUCAUCUAGUUUCUUGAGUAUUUUCUCAGAGAUUCUUAGUGCAAAUUAGUUAUGUAAAUCAUCAAACAUAUUAUCUCCUGUUUUUUUUAUGCAAAAGGUAGCCUACCAUCAAAAUUAUUUCCCGCUUUUUUUUUUUUAACUGAACUGAUACAUUUGAUUCCAGAGCUUCAAAUGUCCCUCAUCAACUGGCCACUCUUCCAAGUGCAAGUGCAAAACGGUUCAGCUUAGCUCGGAGGGAGGGGCUGGUGGAAGGAGGGCUUUCUUCCCAUGGAAGUUUGGAUUUUUCUUUCAAACCCGAUUGAGUUUUUGUGCCAGGUGGCUUGGCUGCAUCCCUGCUGGGCUGGAUACCCAAGAUUAUAUGUGACAUCAUCAGUCCCUUUCCUGGGAGUAAACCUGAUGGUGGAGAAGCCAUAAGUUCUUAGAGGAAACAUUUCAUGCCUGGGGAGGAGCCCCUUGGAUCUACCUCCUGGUUCUUUGUGAAGAGAUGCCACGGGCCCAAGAGACAGCUGGGGAUUAAAUCUAGGGGCUGGUGAGGGUUCUCCUCCUCCUACCUGUCCCUCCAAAAUAGCCACAUCCAUAGCAGUGAUGACCCCUCCCUUCUCUGGCAAGCACCCCCUUUCCACGUGGGAGGGAAAAACCCAGGGUCCCCUGUCCAGCAUAGUCAGGAAGGAAGAACUGCAUGGUGGGACAAGCCUGGAGUCCUACCUGGAGUCCUAGGUUCCCUGGGGCCUGGGUUUGAAUCCUGAAUCUGCUGUGGACUCUCCAGGUAACCUUGGGCCAGCAACUUAGCUUCUAAGAACUUUAGUUCCCUGAGCAAACUUCACAGAAAUGUUGUCAGGAUUCAAUAAAACGAUGUAUGUAAACAU
rnacentral:lncRNA from 1 species